rnacentral:rRNA from 1 species
AGUGAACGCUGGCGGUAGGCCUAACACAUGCAAGUCGAACGGCAGCACAGUAAGAGCUUGCUCUUACGGGUGGCGAGUGGCGGACGGGUGAGGAAUACAUCGGAAUCUACUUUUUCGUGGGGGAUAACGUAGGGAAACUUACGCUAAUACCGCAUACGACCUACGGGUGAAAGCAGGGGAUCUUCGGACCUUGCGCGAUUGAAUGAGCUGAUGUCGGAUUAGCUAGUUGGCGGGGUAAAGGCCCACCAAGGCGACGAUCCGUAGCUGGUCUGAGAGGAUGAUCAGCCACACUGGAACUGAGACACGGUCCGGACUCCUACGGGAGGCAGCAGUGGGGAAUAUUGGACAAUGGGCGCAAGCCUGAUCCAGCCAUACCGCGUGGGUGAAGAAGGCCUUCGGGUUGUAAAGCCCUUUUGUUGGGAAAGAAAAGCAGCAGGUUAAUACCCCGCUGUUCUGACGGUACCCAAAGAAUAAGCACCGGCUAACUUCGUG